CUUUGCAGGCAGAGCUGCAGCCCGACACGGGGAGUUUGCUCCGUGUUUGGAAUCGCAGAGGGAAAUUAUGCAGUUACAAGGAUGGCAUAAUUGAGAGAAUGCUUGACUAGCGCAAUUUUCUUAUGUGCCUGUCAGCAAAUCACUUAAUCUGUGCUGUGCCAAGUUUCCCAUCCGUUAAAUGGGGAAUGAUUAUCCCCCUGCUUCCUAGGAGGGAGCGCGAAUAAUACCCACUAAUGACUGUGGAGGUGCUGGAAGGUGGCCACGGAGACGCGCGGUGACACACGGAGUAGCUGCAGAACUGGAGAGAGCGAGCAGCGCUUCAAAACCAACCUUCACAAACGGAUUCCUCCUCCUGCUGCUCUUUUAUUUUAUUUUUAUUUUUUUAACGUAUUUAUUGAAGAAGAUCCCAAAAUAGGUUUGCCUCUCCCGUUCCGGAUUUUUAAAGCUUUCUCAGGCAUUCCUGGGCCAGGACACCCCGGGUCCUAUGUGCAAGAAUAGGAAAAUGCGGCCGAGAAGGAGCACCCCGGGCAGCGAGGAGCUCUGCCUCCGCCCGUCCGACGGCCCCCCCGGCCCCCCCAUCCAGCCGGGCCCGGGGGGGGGCCGAUGCCCGGCGCCUCCCGGGAGCUGCAGGCGGCGCGGGGUCACCUUGGCCGCAUCGAGCCGGGGUUGGGGGGGCACCGGGGGCCCCAGGGGGGGUCCCGCUACCGCCCCCCCGCCUCCGUUCCUGCUCCGGCUGAAUCCUGCACGGCCAGGGGCAGCCGCUGCUGGUCUCCCCCCCCCCCCCCCCGGAGCCGUGGGGAUGCUGCGAGCAGCCAGGCAGGUACCCAGAAGACCUGGAUCCCCGCCCUGCAGAGGUGGAGGGCAGCCGAAACCAGCUGGAUUUGUGUUGGAGGUGGCUCCGGAGCAGCUCCCUGCCUGCGCAGAGCCCGGCCGGCGUUGGAGCUCACGGGGUUGCUGCAUAAGACCACGCUGUGCAGGCUGAGCGAGUGGAUCAGGUGUGGAUAUUAAUGGGGCAGGGGGCCCAGGAGAGACAGAAAUGAGCAGAAAUCCCCCACCGCAGAGGCUGCUUCUGCAGGAGACUCGGUGCCCCGUGGAAAGGUCUGCGCUUCGCAGUGCCUUUUUUGGUACAAUGCUGCCAACUCCCGUGUUCUGCUGCAGUGACCCAAUCGUUAUAUAAACAAGGGUUUAAUUUUGGAACUUUAAUAUUUAAGAGGCUUAAGUUUCUUUUGCUCAGACUUAUUUUCAUACGCUGCCCAUCUGACAAAACACUUCUUACCUACAUUAUCAGCUGCUAGCAAAGUAUCCUGCAGCUGUGUUCAUGGUCCAUUUGAGCGAGUAUUUUACUCGAGAUAAUUCCUUGCCUUAGGAUCGCUGUCAGACUGGAGCAGGGCUUAGAGGACUGCAUGGCCCUGGCUGGCCCUUCUGAGUUCUCAGCCUGCCUACCUCCUUUGAAAAACAAAAGGCAAGUAACACAGAAGGGUGUGCUGAUGCUAAGAGCAGCAAAGGCUGACACGGAUGGUUGCCUAUAAAAAUAUUACCCUUACAAACCAGCGUCCUUUGGAGUAUAACCACAGGACUCCUUCCUGAGAUGGGACCUCUACUAGAAGCAACUUGUGUAACUCACAUGCACCAGCUCCUGCAAGGAGAGAGGCUGGAGCAGUGCUGAUCCCUUCUUGCUGUUGUCUGCAGAAAGGUAGUUUGUUUUUUUCUGCAGUCGGUAAACAUUCAGUUUAGCGAUGGUAACACAGAUGUCUCCCUGGUGGGACAGAAGCUCAGCUCAUCACGUGCUGUCAGAGAGGAAGAUGUAGUUUCUCAUCUGCCGUCCUGCUGCAGGUGUGCUACCAGCUCUCCAGCCUUGACUGUUCUGUUCUAAAGCCUGCAAAGAAGCUAGAGGAACAGGAAACAACUUAAAAGUGCUUUGAAGGAAGGAGUUACCAUGGAAAUGGAAGACAGGUAUUUUUUUUCCUUUCUAUUAGAAGGCACUAAGUCUUUCUCAAUCAAACUUUCGUGCCCUUGAAACAUGACUUCUGUCUCUUUUUCUUUGCAAUGGUCCAAAGUUGUAAGGCAUCUGUGUGUUGUUUUUAGGGACUCCAGUCAUUGAACGACUAAAUGUGCAGUGCUGAAGCUCACUGGCACACUAACCCUGCGCUACUCAAAGUAGCUCCCUUCAAAUACCAGUUACCUAAGCGUGAUAGAUUUCCCCACCUCGUGGUCUCUGUGAAAUGGGUUUACAGAAGGAAGCUUUUGUUCUUUGUUCUGUAGGAAUUGCACUAGUUUUCUGGAAAAUAAAUAUCUGCCUUUAAAGCAGGACUUCACAUUUCUAUUAUGGUCCUAUGCUUUCUUACCUGGGUCCACUUUCAUGUGGUGGCUUUUCCACAGCAUACCAGUUGUACAACGUUGAUGGAAAGAAAGUACAACUUGCACCCUUUAAAAUGUUUUAAUGGUGCUGGCUACGCUGGACUGUGAAAUGAGUAAGACCUGGGGCUGGAUGCAACACAAAGCUGCUCUCUGGAGUGUUUAUCCAGCGUCCUGCAGUUUCACGGUGCCCUGUGACCGUGGACUGUCACGCUGCCUGCUCAGUACAGUUCGUCACGUAAACAGAAUGAUGCAAAGGCAAGAGUUAGCCCUGCCCUGCCGGGGCUGCACAAAUCCAUCAUGCCAAGAGCUGGCCUUUUCCCCUGCCUGGCAGGGAGCACCUCGGGAAGCCAGCAGGCACAGCAUUUAUCUACCUAUCUACCGUCGUUCCCACAUCACACUUGGAAGCCUUCAGUUAGGGGUACAUUUUUUAACCUAUCCCUUUGAGCAUUCCUACAAAUUCUGAAGUCAAUCAGUUUGUUUUUUUCCCCAGCCCACUGCCUAUUGUGAGAUCCUUCCUUUACUCCUCCCUGUUUUACUGUGGAUGAGCCCCGCUGGUUUUGUACCAUCUCCAAAUGCUGCCAGCUCAUUCUCCACACCCUGAAUGCUCAAGUGACUUUCAGCAUCCUGGCUGCGUGUUAAUGCACACUCCAGCACCCAGCAUUUUGGUUUUCCCCUCCGCCCAGGGUCCGGUCCAGGCAGCAGAUCGUCCUCCAGAGCCGGCUGCAGGCCACAGUCAGCUCUCAUCUUGGACGACCUCAUUUUAACCUCCCUGUUUCGAGGCAGCAGUGGCAUUAUAUAACCUGGAUUUCAGCGGGUUUGGUAGUGAGGCUGUGCAGAAGCAAAUGCGCACUCGCAGGAGUCAGGGCAAAAUGGGUGCCUUCUGCUGCUGCCCUUGCCCAUGUGCCCCCUCCCAGCUGCUGGAGGAAGCCUCCAGCUCCCAGCUCCAGCACGGCAGCCGCAGGUCUCCAGGCUGACAUUGCAGAAAGCAUUCGCUGCAUCUCGGAGAGGGCAUUGCUAAGGAGGGAGGCUCUUAGAAGCUGAAAAGCAAACCCUCGGGGAGCCCAGGGCUCCCCCAGGUAGCCCUGUUGAAAGAGCGUGUGUCAGAGGGAAGGCUGAGACUUAGGUCUCGCUCAUUCUUGGCUCGUUGAUGUGCAGCUCUGAUGGCCUUAUUUUCACCUGUCAUAUCCAAGCUGUUUCCCUAUAUUCCCCUUCAGCAUCUCCCUCUUCUCACCCAAGACUUAUUACUGAUGGAAACAGGGUAUGCUAAAUGCCAGAAGACAGUUUCCCACACAAGCUUCCAUUUCACAGACUCCUUGACUUCUUAUAAAUACCCUGGACCUUUUACCCUGCUGUAGAUUUACCUCUUUGAAAGCUAACUGUCCUACAGAUGUGGGCAGUAAAGCGAGACAGUGUUUCCAAAAGGAGAGAAGCUCUGUUACUAGGCUGUGGUCGUUUGGGGACUGUAGGAAAAUGAUCAAAACAGAGCAGCAAGGUUAAUGCAGAUGCUGUUCUUGGAGUCACAGCUUGCCUCGCUGCCCCGAAGCAUGCAGAAUUUCCUUGUGUCCUUUCACUGGGAGGCAGAAUUACCACCAUAUGCUGACGUGCCACUUGCAUGCCUCAUCCAGCACACUGUUUCCCCAGGCAUUGCUUGCUUUGGCUGCCAGUCCUUCGGAGUUAAUAGCCUGGUCUGGGUGCCCAUCGCAUCUCCUGGGCAGCUCUGCUGGUGUGUAGGUGAUGCUCGAUAGCUCAUUUACAGCAGCCUUUGCUUUUCUGUGCAAUCCUUUGCCUCAGAGAUGAAACCAACCCUUCUAGUACUGUUGUGCAACAAAGAAACGAGUAUGGAAACUAUGUUUAUAUGUUUACAAAAGAAUAUAGGUGUGUUUUUUGUCCUCCUUCUUGAGUGAGGUGAAAUAUUCAAUUUAAAAUAAACUGGAAUUCAAGUCUUGGUGCCUCAAUGCAACCAGGACAGUUGCAGUGUAAGCCUGUCAGCUCAGCAGUCCCUGACUGCUCAGAAAUGACUUUUCUUCUAAUAUUACUACUGAGUUAGAAUCCACUCAAUAAUAAUUUUAGAAUCCAUUUUCUUUUCAUUAUUUAAGACGCGUGUGUGUCUCUUCCCUUUAUCUUGAUUUAAAAGAAUUUAUGAGGAAAACUUUUUAAGUCUCUCUUUGGUUUUGACUUCUGCUUUUUAACUUCUUGGGGCUGAUAAUUCUGUGUACAAUGCAGCAGGCUUUCCAAUGAUUUAGGUCUCAGGAAAUCUGGAGGCCUUUUCCUCUUUUGAGGAAUGCCAUUUGUUAGGAUCGAGCCGAUCCGCAGCACCUCCAGAGCUGUGGCAACCAUGAAAUCCCUCGGGACAGCCUAAACGAUGGAGGCAUCUGUGCUCUCCCUAGCUGGGUGAGACGGCUCCGUGUAGGCAGAGGGUCAGGACAGGCAACUUUCUUUCUGGUGAACCAAGUGCUGUUGCUUCAAAAACAUUUUCUGAGAAUGGGCAGCAAGGGACCUGACGCUGUUUUAUAAUGUGCUCGGUGGGAGGUUGCUUCCAGGUGUUACUUAAUUCUUGCCUUUUAUGUGCUCCAUGGCAAAACCAGGCGAGCCGUACUGGCCGUGAGUUUCCUCUCUUCUGGAGCUGUUGCUGGGGCUGGCGUGUUUGUGUCCCAUCCCCUCUGACACACCUUGCUCUCGUUGCCAAGUAACUAAUCAUAUUGCUGAGAGCCAGCAUUGUGCCUGAACCGCUCUGGCAUUCCUACUCUUCCUCUUCCUUCUCUCCACCUCCUGCUCUGCCCUCGCUGGGAUCGUGUUGUAAUGGCAAAGGCGACCUCCCAUUCCGCACGGCUUCAGGCACCUCACAUCCACCAGUGAGCGGAGCGUGCCCAGCGGUGGGCUUCGAUGUGCGGUUGCGGCAAACAGGGCUAAUGCACACCUCUGCAAGAUAAUUCGGGUUACCAUGGUUACGUGUGGAAAAUAGGGCUGUGGGUGAACCCAGGACAGCAGCGCAUGAAGUGCACCUCACGCCGUGGCGAGCCCUCGCCUCACGGCACACUGAGGUGACGGAGGCCGAGCGGCGGCCAUCUUCUGGCCUGCAGCCUGCGGCAACUCCCCCAGGCUUCCCGGCCCAUAUCGGCCUGUAUUGAGGAGCUGGCCAGGGACAAGUGACCCGCUAUGGGCUCCCAAGGGACCCCCAGGUGGCUCCCUGGCCUCCAAGUGCAGCGUGGGGACCUGAGCAGGAAGGUCCACACUGCAGCACCAAGGUCUGUAUGUUGAGAGCCAGGGUCCAAGUCUGCUGGAUAUGUUCGAAACCACAGCACAUAGAGCAGAGGGGAAUGUUUGCUAUUGCUGUGGGAAAAGAGAAAGCUCAUCUAUUCCUCCAAAAUAGAGUUCCUUCAGCUGAACUCUGAAGCAUAAACUAUCAGCCCACGGGCAUCUGCCGGUCCUCAGCACUGUAGCAAGCUUCGACAACCUAGGGCAGAAAACCCAGGACAAAUACAGCAUUUAGAAACGGCUUUAGUAGUGCAGAAAGACAGUGUUUUUGUGACUGCUGAUAUGAGCUGUGUGCUGGAGGCAAAGCAGAUGGCUUCAGCUGGACUCAGGAGAGCUCGAGGUGAUGCUGUGCAGAAAAUGGUCCCCACCUUCCCCAGAGGGAUGGAGCCAACGCAACCCAUGGGAUCUGCCCGACCCGCAAGUGAUGCAACACUUCUGGCAGCCCUGAGCGUACCUGGAACACAAUCAUCUCAACAACUUGGUGAAAAACCUUCCUGUGGGAGAAAAACCCAUCAAAGGGGCAAAUGAAGCCUGGAGUGAGUUACAGUUAAAAAAAAAAAAAAAAAGUGUAAAGUUCCUACACCAAGCGGAGCUUUUACUGACAGAAGGUUUUGGAAACUCCAUUAAAUCACUUCGGGACUCGGCUAUUUAUCUUUCACAGUAACCUGCUCAGAGAAUGCGGCAGUGGAUGGCAGCACAAAAGCCUCACAAGGCGAGUUUCUGCCAGGCUGGUUUCGGUGUGUUAAAGUGCACCGAGCUAUUGCUGACUUCCAAAGAGAGAAACUGCUCAGCACAGGUAUAAAUGAGAAGGAGGUAAAGGCCUGCUAGAAAUACUACUCUUGUCUUUUUGAAGUAUUAAAUGCCUCCUUUUCCAGGCCUGGUUGUGAGGAACACAAAAUGACAGUGUGGGAAAAAAAUUAAAAUUAAAAAGUGGUGGCCUGUGUCCAGCACAGCCAACAGGCAAAUAAAUCGUGUUCACGCUAUUAAUCUCU